GACGAACGCUGGCGGCGUGCCUAAUGCAUGCAAGUAGAACGCACAGUUUAUACCGUAGCUUGCUACACCAUAGACUGUGAGUUGCGAACGGGUGAGUAACGCGUAGGUAACCUGCCUGGUAGCGGGGGAUAACUAUUGGAAACGAUAGCUAAUACCGCAUAAUAUUAAUUAUUGCAUGAUAAUUAAUUGAAAGGUGCAAUUGCACCACUACCAGAUGGACCUGCGUUGUAUUAGCUAGUAGGGGAGGUAACGGCUCACCUAGGCGACGAUACAUAGCCGACCUGGGAGGGUGAUCGGCCACACUGGGACUGAGACACGGCCCAGACUCCUACGGGAGGCAGCAGUAGGGAAUCUUCGGCAAUGGACGAAAGUCUGACCGAGCAACGCCGCGGGAGUGAAGAAGGGUUUCGGAUCGUAAAGCUCUGUUGUAAGAGAAGAAAGGGUGUGAGAGUGGAAAGUUCACACUGUGACGGUAGCUUACCAGAAAGGGACGGCUAACUACGUG
rnacentral:rRNA from 1 species